AGUGAACGCUGGCGGUAGGCCUAACACAUGCAAGUCGAACGGCAGCACAGUAAGAGCUUGCUCUUACGGGUGGCGAGUGGCGGACGGGUGAGGUAUACACCGGAAUCUACUUUUUCGUGGGGGCUAACGUAGGGAGACUUACGCUACUACCGCACACCACCUAAGGGCGAAAGCAGGGCAUCUUCCGCCCUUGCGCGUUUGAAUGAGCCGAUGUCGGAUUAGCUAGUUGGCGGGGUAAAGGCCCACCAAGGCGACGAUCCGUAGCUGGUCUGAGAGGAUGAUCAGCCACACUGGAACUGAGACACGGUCCAGACUCCUACGGGAGGCAGCAGUGGGGAAUAUUGGACAAUGGGCGCAAGCCUGAUCCAGCCAUACCGCGUGGGUGAAGAAGGCCUUCGGGUUGUAAAGCCCUUUUGUUGGGAAAGAAAAGCAGCGGGUUAAUACCCCGCUGUGCUGACGGUACCCAAAGAAUAAGCACCGGCUAACUACGUG
rnacentral:rRNA from 1 species